rnacentral:lncRNA from 1 species
CCGGAGCUAAUAACUUCUCUGAGAGCCGUUUCGUCGGCUUUCUUCACGGCGUUCCACCAGGGAGCUUCGUACUCGGCGAUCACGUCCUUGGCUAUGUAAUCUGAAGGAACCCAUGUGGGUACGUGAUCGUCCUUCCACUCUAUUAAGUACUCCAUCCCACUGCCAUUUUCGAGUGCCCUACUCCCGAUUAUUUUGUUCACUUCUCCGUAGCUCUCAUCUUCAUUGUAAUCGUCGAAUACUUUUGCAGAUUCAUGGCUUUCGACGGUGGCGGACAGUGAGAAAUUCGUGGCGCUUCUUGGAAAAAGGAGAUGGGUUUUGAAGGGGAAGGGGAGACGAGGAGCGAUGUUUACAGCAUUGGUAUUGCAAAUGGUGAAACUGAGAUGUGGAG